CUCCUAUUAGAGUCACAACCUUCAGCUUCUCCAACAGAGAGACAGAAAGAAGGGUUGCAGCCAUUUUCUACUACACUGGACCUCAAUGGCCAAAAUGGGUUUCCUUUGUUCCUAAAAGGGAUCUAAAGCUUCAUUUCAUCACCUUUUUUAUGGACUAUCACACAUUACAGUCUUCUCUCUGUGUACAGGAUUUGAGAAGAAGGAAGAAAUGUUGGACCAUAUCCCUUUGACAUUUUUUAAACUUGUUCUUUUUUCCUACCUCUCUCUCUCACUCUCACUCUGUCUUUUUCCAGGAAUCCAUCUUUGUCCUGGCAAACUAGGUCACGGCACACCCAUAUAACAGCAUUUUGUUUCUAAAGUGAAAUGCUACUGAAUAAAACAGCUGACUGUAUAACUGCUUUAGCAAUGUUUUAAAGAGAGAAAAAAGAGAAAAGAAAUACACAUGAAAACUGAUCAGCUGCUUUUGCAGGCCCUACACUGUGCAAGGCCAAGUAUGAAUAUGCCAUUGAAAAACACGGCAGGCCAGAGAGAGGGAGAGAGGGAGAGAGGGAGAAAGAGAAAAUAAAGGACGAUUGGCCUUUUUGCAAAAAUGCUGAAUCACAGGAAUGGUUGGUAGGUUAAUGUGGUGGUUGCUGGUAUUAAAAAACCUUUCAGCUUUAACAGAAAACAGUGGAUCAUCUACCAGACCCCACAAUUUAUCAGUCAACAAGACAUUUAACAGCAAAAUAAGCCACCACUUAGUGCUGAAAGUACAAUCAAGUGUUAUGUCAAGCGUACAGUUCUCUUUCUAAAGCAUGAGCAUUAUUAAGUAUUCAAUGUAAGCCUAGUUGACCUUGUGUCAAGGACACAUUUUCAUAUCGUAGUUUUUUUUUUCUUUUUUAUCCCAACAGCACAUCAUUAAGACUUUUUUUUUUCAUUUUUUGAAGAAUGGACAACAAGCACAGAAUCAGUGGAGAUAUGAGAUAUUUACCUUCACAUUUUUGCUGAAAUAUUUUUAUCAGGCCUAAAGGCAGAAGAAAGAGGGACGUUUUCAUUCCCAUCGCCGGAUCCUUUAAACUCCUUUAAGGCACCCCCCCCCUUUUUUUUUUACAGUUUUAACUCCUGAGGAGCACAAACAGGUGUGCAAACCUUUACUACAUCGUCAGUUUUCCCUGCUUUCGGUCUUUUUUAAAAGAGCUUUGCGCCUGUGAGGAGUGAAACUGCUGCAAAUCUUCAGCAGAUUUAGUUUUAGAGAAUAUGCAAACCAUCCCCCCUCUCUCCCUCUCCCUCUCUCUCUCUCUCUGUCUGUCUCUCUCCCUCUCUCUCGCUCUGUCUGUCUCUCUCCCUCUUCCUCAAGCAUUCGCUCUUCAAUUUUACUCAGCAGGAGAAAGACAAGAACUGUAGGUUUCCAUCUGAGGACUGCCUUUAUUUAUAAGGUAAUAAUAACAAUAAUAAUAGUAAUAGUAAUAAUAACAAUAAAAGACUGUUCAUUUUACUGGAGCCUAAUUUUUGAACUUGCAUAUUCAAUGUGCAACAUCUGUUUAAUUUGCAUUGUUAAAUUUACAUAAAAACCAGCAGCACCGUGUAAAGAAAAUGCAGUUUAUUUCAAUAAAAGUUAUAUUUUAAGCUCAUAGCUGACAGUCGAAGUGUUCACCCAUGUGAGGGUGGUGGGUGAGUGAAGCAUGUGCUGUUUUUUUUCUUCCUCCUUAAUGUUGGUGUUGAUUUUUGAAUUUUUGAGGUGCGUGCUGUUUAAUGGCGGAUCUGCUGUGCUGCUGCAAAAUGGCUCCUUCCCUCUGAGAACAACACCACACACGCACCCAGACACACAUCCUCAGAGCUCACACACAGCCUGCUCAGAGGAUUCACAGUGAAUGUUAAUGUAAAUCCAUAGUUAUGGACACAUACACGAAGCACAGAUCAUCACUGUGGACCAGUUAUGCUGUAGCACAUCUUCUGCUUUUAUUGUAUUGUUAGUUCCAGGAGGAUAAAUUUGACUACUUUUUCGAAUUGUUCGUUCCACCUUAAAUGGCACAGCAGUUGCAUGCGAAAACCAUCCCCCACUCUUUCUCUGUUACUUCCUCCAUCGUUGGCUCUUCGUUUUUGACAGAGAAGGAGGAACCAAGAGGGGGAAAAACUUCUCCAUGAUCUUAUCAGACACGAUUAAAAUGUAAAAUGGCUGCUAAAACAAGCUGCAGUUUGCUUUAAUCAGCGCUAAACGUUCAUCAUUUGAAUGUCCAGCUUGCUGCAAUACAUUAAGGUAGCGCUGUGCAUUGGUGCUAAAAAUAUGAACUGCAAUCUCGGUGCUUUGUCCCCGAAGAUUUAGACUUUAAUUAAACUAAAAUGAUUCUGGAGGUUUGCAUGUUUAAAUACACUAAGACAUUAAGACAUCGCACAGCGCGCUGAAUGUACCCAAAUUCAGGGCUGACAUUUGUUUACCUCGCCGCUCUUUAGUAAAACAGCUAAAUUGGCUCAGAGCGCGUGCUACAGUGUGCGAGCUGGUGCUCGCGCUCUCGGUCUCUGUUCCAGAACAUUCGGUGCAGGAGCUCUGCGCGCACAGCGGAGCACAGAGGGAGAACAUUGUUGGUCUUUCUGUGUGGAGAGCUAGUUAAACUCAACUUUUCAGCUUCUUUUGGUAAGGCUGAUGCUACUGUGUGUGUGUUUUUUUAAGUAAAGGGAAACUCCACCUAAUUUUCCAAAAAUAAAUAAAAUCUCCAUAAUUCAGUGCGUGAGAGACUGGGCGAUUCAGAGUGGUUUGGUGCGAAAUGGAUCACUUCUUCACAGUGGUGGUGAUAGGAUCCAGGGGUCGGAACAAAUGUAGACGUUUUAUUUACUAUUCAAAACCACCAGUGAUCCUUUACGUGUCCUCCGAGCUUUAUAUGGAAUGUUGAUGAUGGGAAAAUAGUGGAAAAUCUGAAAGUGUAUUCAUAACCAUUUCAUGUAAUAACUGGGAGGGAGCUUUUGGAGGUGGACGUCUGGUUGCUGUCACCACCACUGUGCACAAUUCUGAGUUUCUCUAGAACACUGACUGACUGUUUACACCAUAAUCCCUUUAUCAUGGAGGAAAUUUGAAAAAUAGGUAGAAUUCCUCUUUUAAACUAGCAGCUCCACGAUGCAUGUUCAGUGUAAGUGAUCCAUUUAGCAAUGUUAUUAUCCACUUUAAUCAAUAAUAAUGUUUAUUAAUAUAAGCAUGCUUUUUUGGUAAAUAAAUAAAGUCUUAGACUGCAAACAUAAA